GAUGAACGCUGGCGGCGUGCCUAAUACAUGCAAGUCGAGCGAACAGACGAGGAGCUUGCUCCUCUGACGUUAGCGGCGGACGGGUGAGUAACACGUGGAUAACCUACCUAUAAGACUGGUAUAACUUCGGGAAACCGGAUCUAAUACCGGAUAAUAUAUUGAACCGCAUGGUUCAAUAGUGAAAGACGGUUUUGCUGUCACUUAUAGAUGGAUCCGCGCCGCAUUAGCUAGUUGGUAAGGUAACGGCUUACCAAGGCGACGAUGCGUAGCCGACCUGAGAGGGUGAUCGGCCACACUGGAACUGAGACACGGUCCAGACUACUACGGGAGGCAGCAGUCGGGAAUCUUACGCAAUGGGCGAAAGCCUGACGGAGCAACGCCGCGUGAGUGAUGAAGGUCUUCGGAUCGUAAAACUCUGUUAUUAGGGAAGAACAAAUGUGUAAGUAACUAUGCACGUCUUGACGGUAACUAAUCAGAAAGCCACGGCUAACUACGUG
rnacentral:rRNA from 1 species